GCGGAUGAUGCCGAAACGGUGAGGUGCCGGGCUUCCACCCCGGAGUAGCGGGUUCGACUCCCGCCGUCCGCU
rnacentral:tRNA from 1 species